rnacentral:rRNA from 1 species
UUGGAGGGCAAGUCUGGUGCCCGCAGCCGCGGUAAUUCCAGCUCCAAUAGCGUAUAUUAAAGUUGUCGCAGUUAAAAAGCUUGUAGUUGAAUUUGGGGAUCAAUAUGUUGGUCGCGCCUUGGUACGUACUGGUUUAUUGGUUUCUUCCUUCUGACGAACCAUGAUGUCAUUAAUUUGGUGUCUUGGGGAAUCAGGACUGUUACUUUGAAAAAAUUAGAGUGUUUAAAGCAGGCUCACGCUUGAAUACAUUAGCAUGGAAUAAUGAAAUAGGACGUUUGAUCCUAUUUUGUUGGUUUCUAGGAUUGACGUAAUGAUUAAUAGGGAUAGUUGGGGGCAUUAGUAUUCAAUUGUCAGAGGUGAAAUUCUUGGAUUUAUUGAAGACUAACUACUGCGAAAGCAUUUGCCAAGGAUGUUUUCAUUAAUCAAGAACGAAAGUUAGGGGAUCGAAGACGAUCAGAUACCGUCGUAGUCUUAACCAUAAACUAUGCCGACUAGGGAUCGGAUGAUGUUAAUUUUUUAAUGACUCAUUCGGCGCCUUACGGGAAAC